GACGAACGCUGGCGGCGUGCUUAACACAUGCAAGUCGAACGGUAAGGCCCUUCGGGGUACACGAGUGGCGAACGGGUGAGUAACACGUGGGUGAUCUGCCCUGCACUUCGGGAUAAGCCUGGGAAACUGGGUCUAAUACCGGAUAGGACCACUGCCUGCAUGGGUGGUGGUGGAAAGCUUUUGCGGUGUGGGAUGGGCCCGCGGCCUAUCAGCUUGUUGGUGGGGUGAUGGCCUACCAAGGCGACGAGGGGUAGCCGGCCUGAGGGGGUGACCGGCCACACUGGGACUGAGAUACGGCCAAGACUCCUACGGGAGGCAGCAGUGGGGAAUAUUGCACAAUGGGCGCAAGCCUGAUGCAGCGACGCCGCGUGAGGGAUGACGGCCUUCGGGUUGUAAACCUCUUUCAGCACCGACGAAGCGCAAGUGACGGUAGGUGCAGAAGAAGGACCGGCCAACUACGUGCCAGCCGCCGCAGUAA
rnacentral:rRNA from 1 species